UACGAAGGGGACUAGCGUUGUUCGGAAUCACUGGGCGUAAAGCGCACGUAGGCGGAUAUGUCAGUCAGGGGUGAAAUCCCGGGGCUCAACCUCGGAACUGCCCUUGAUACAGCAUAUCUUGAGUCCGAUAGAGGUGGGUGGAAUUCCUAGUGUAGAGGUGAAAUUCGUAGAUAUUAGGAAGAACACCGGUGGCGAAGGCGGAUCUCUGGGCCUUGCCUGACGCUGAGGCGCGAAAGCUAGGGGAGCGAAACAGG
rnacentral:rRNA from 1 species